AUUGAACGCUGGCGGCAGGCUUAACACAUGCAAGUCGAGCGGAGAUGAGGUGCUUGCACCUUAUCUUAGCGGCGGACGGGUGAGUAAUGCUUAGGAAUCUGCCUAUUAGUGGGGGACAACAUUCCGAAAGGAAUGCUAAUACCGCAUACGUCCUACGGGAGAAAGCAGGGGAUCUUCGGACAUUGCGCUAAUAGAUGAGCCUAAGUCGGAUUAGCUAGUUGGUGGGGUAAAGGCCUACCAAGGCGACGAUCUGUAGCGGGUCUGAGAGGAUGAUCCGCCACACUGGGACUGAGACACGGCCCAGACUCCUACGGGAGGCAGCAGUGGGGAAUAUUGGACAAUGGGGGGAACCCUGAUCCAGCCAUGCCGCGUGUGUGAAGAAGGCCUUAUGGUUGUAAAGCACUUUAAGCGAGGAGGAGGCUACUGAGACUAACACUCUUGGAUAGUGGACGUUACUCGCAGAAUAAGCACCGGCUAACUCUGUGCCAGCCGCCGCAGUAACAC
rnacentral:rRNA from 1 species